rnacentral:rRNA from 1 species
UACGUAGGGGGCAAGCGUUGUCCGGAAUCAUUGGGCGUAAAGAGCGUGUAGGCGGUCCGGUCAGUCGGUUGUGAAAGUCAAGGGCUCAACCCUUGAAUGCCGGCCGAUACUGCCGGGCUAGAGUCCGGAAGGGGCGAGUGGAAUUCCUGGUGUAGCGGUGAAAUGCGCAGAUAUCAGGAGGAACACCAAUGGCGAAGGCAGCUCGCUGGAACGGUACUGACGCUGAGGCGCGAAAGCGUGGGGAGCAAACAGG